GACCAGCUAUCUGAGGGUGAAGUUGUCCAGCGAUGGCUCAGCAAAGACUCUCAAGGCUUCUUCAUUCAGCAAAGGCCCUUGGGAAAAACCCUUCAUGGCGUCGGAGAACACGCAUGGGGUGGGGGAUUCUCUCCUCACUCAGAGAGCUCCCACCCCUCACUGUUACCCUGCUAGGAGCGCAGAGUCAAGAAAGGAGAGGCUGCUUCAGCUCAUGUCUAAGUAAUGUGGGAGCACGUUUGCCUCCAUGCUCAACUCCUCCCUCCUCCCUUGGUACCCAUCAGCCUUACUCACAUGUCUCAAGGCCAGUUUGUUUUGGGUCCUCAGCUCUCCUGCAAGAGUCUUCAGGCACUUGUAAAUCAUUCCAAAUCUUCCGUACAAAUUAAAGAGCUCAUCUUCUCAGGCUUGUGAUGCCCUGGUGACGAGGGCCAGCAGGAAAGUGUGAGCUGGUGGGACAGUCUUCAGUGAAACAGGCCUUCCCAGGGACGGAGU